GCCCGCUUGGUGGAAUUGGCAGACACAAGGGACUUAAAAUCCCUUUCCCUUCGGGGAGUCCGGGUUCGAGUCCCGGAGCGGGCACCA
rnacentral:tRNA from 1 species